CAAUUACAGGUAUGAUCAUUUAGAUCAUUUACACCUUACAUCUUACUGUGAAGGAUAUUUUGAGGGAUUGUUUUCUCAUCCCCUUUCUUUUAUAUAGGCCCUUCCAAUCACAUGAUGCGAGCGCGGAUUACACGAACUCGUGAGUGGGUCAGCUGUGUCAGAGAUCAAGUGAGAGAUCUUAUUAUUCCUCUUGAAAGUACCUCAAAAACUCAUGUCUUGUCUAGCUAGGUUCUCUAAAGAUAGCCCUGUUCCUAUUUAUCAGUAGAGAUAGGAGUGGACCGUCCGAUGGCAGCUUGUUUGAGAGAGCAAGUUCAACCCGGCCUUGGACCCAAGUUGGAGAGAGAACUCAUAGUCAUACGGAAACAACAACAACAGAUUUUGAUACAGAAGAUGGCAGAGCGGACUGCACACAUGGACCUGAACUUCUUGACCACAGCAUGAACUUGAUGAAGUAGUGGUGGAAGAAUUCACAUGGUAUAACCUCCUUGGUACGGAAGACGAGAGUGAAGAUCAUGAUGGAAAUGUGAUUCAAGUUGAGGAGGAACGCACAGAUGAGUACUACUGUUUUGCCUUGAAUUUAAAAAGAAUCAAUUAAUGGCAGUCUCUGCACUAUCGUGCACUGAUCUUCCCAACAAACAGAAACACAUUAUGAAAAAUCAAUACAGUAUUUGAUUGCAACUGAUGUGUAGGGUAAGGAGGCGAAUUGGAAAGAGUCGUCUGCUAUUUUGUAAAUGAUCUUUAAUAGGAACGGGGGCAAAUUUGAAACGCAUGGUCUACUGUUUUUGUAAAUGAUCUUGAAUGGGGAGGGGAGGCUAAUUCAAAUGCACCAUGACCAUCUUCUACAAUUUUGUCAGUAAUCUUGAAAAGGAAAGAGGGCC